rnacentral:misc_RNA from 1 species
UUGAUUUAUUCAAUAUGGACUCGGACGCAACGAUGCAGGGUUGGACGGUCCACCGGGGGCCCCCCGCCGUGAGGCCGGGUCACCCCCGAGGCAACUAGGUCGGAUAACAUGGGGUUGGAGGUCGGGCCCGGAGGCCCUUCACUCGGUAAUGAUCCCUCCGCAGGUUCACCUACGGAGA